rnacentral:misc_RNA from 1 species
UUGAAGAUUUAGUUCUGAAUUCUGCAUCAUUGUAAUUUCCAAUUCAUAUUUGCCCAAAGAGUGAAACAAUAGUACAUCAGAAAAGAAAACAACAUUAUGAAUCCCUGCACACUUCAAAGAUGGGACAUUAAUGCAAUUUAUCAAUAACAUAUCAAUCUGUCCAAAAAGGGGCAUGGAGAUCCGGCGUUGUUAAUCGUCACUCACCAACACAAAACACUCAGACAUCAACUUGAAAAUCCUAACUAGUGCUAAAAUUUCCUGUGAUCACACUGUUAGACCUUGAGGAGCAGCAGGUGCUGGUGACUUAGGCUUAGGCUUUUCCACUACAAUUGCCUGAGUGGUCAGGACCAUCCCAGCAACUGAUGCUGCAUUCUGCAGAGCACAUCUUGUCACCUUAGCUGGGUCAAUAACUCCAGCCUCCACCAAGUU